rnacentral:rRNA from 1 species
GACGAACGCUGGCGGCGUGCUUAACACAUGCAAGUCGAACGGAAAGGCCCUGCUUUUGUGGGGUGCUCGAGUGGCGAACGGGUGAGUAACACGUGAGUAACCUGCCCUUGACUUUGGGAUAACUUCAGGAAACUGGGGCUAAUACCGGAUAGGAGCUCCUGCUGCAUGGUGGGGGUUGGAAAGUUUCGGCGGUUGGGGAUGGACUCGCGGCUUAUCAGCUUGUUGGUGGGGUAGUGGCUUACCAAGGCUUUGACGGGUAGCCGGCCUGAGAGGGUGACCGGCGACAUUGGGACUGAGAUACGGCCCAGACUCCUACGGGAGGCAGCAGUGGGGAAUAUUGCACAAUGGGCGGAAGCCUGAUGCAGCAACGCCGCGUGCGGGAUGAAGGCCUUCGGGUUGUAAACCGCUUUCGCAUGUGACGAAGCGUGAGUGACGGUAAUGGGUAAAGAAGCACCGGCUAACUACGUG